rnacentral:rRNA from 1 species
UACGGGAGGCAGCGGUGGGGAAUAUUGCACAAUGGGCGAAAGCCUGAUGCAGCUAUGCCGCGUGUAUGAAGAAGGCCUUAGGGUUGUAAAGUACUUUCAUCGGGGAGGAAAAAACAAAACUAAUAAUUUUAUUUCUUGACGUUACCCGAAAAAGAAGCACCGGCUAACUCCGUGCCAGCAGCCGCGGUAAUACGGAGGGUGCUAGCGUUAAUCAGAAUUACUGGGCGUAAAGAGCACGUAGGUGGUUUUUUUAAAGUCAGAUGUGAAAUCCCUGGGCUUAACCUGGAACUGCAUUUUGAAACUGAAAUACUAGAGUAUCGUAGAGGGAGGUAGAAUUCUAGGUGUAGCGGUGAAAUGCGUAGAUAUCUGGAGGAAUACCUGUGGCGAAAGCGGCCUCCUAAACGAAUACUGACACUGAGGUGCGAAAGCGUGGGGAGCAAACAGGGAUUAGAUACCCGU